AGGUCUAUGGUGUAGUGGUAACAUGCCGGAUUCCAAAUCCGUGCGUCUGGGGUUCAAGUCCUCAUGGGCCUG
rnacentral:tRNA from 2 species